rnacentral:piRNA from 1 species
CUUUCUCUAGCUCCUCCAUUGGGAG